GUGAGGAAUUUUCCGCAAUGGGCGAAAGCCUGACGGAGCAAUGCCGCGUGAAGGAUGAAGGCCUAUGGGUUGUAAACUUCUUUUCUCAGAAAAGAAUUAUGACGGUAUCUGAGGAAUAAGCAUCGGCUAACUCUGUGCCAGCAGCCGCGGUAAGACAGAGGAUGCAAGCGUUAUCCGGAAUGAUUGGGCGUAAAGCGUCUGUAGGUUGUUUAAAAAGUAUUCUGUCAAAGAUUAGGGCUUAACCCUAGAUGGGCAGAAUAAACUUUUAAGCUAGAGUUUGGUAGAGGCAGAGGGAAUUCCCGGUGGAGCGGUGAAAUGCGUAGAUAUCGGGAGGAACACCAAAGGCGAAGGCACUCUGCUGGGCCAAUACUAACACUGAGAGACGAAAGCGAGGGGAGCAAAUGGGAUUAGAUACCCGGGUAGUCC
rnacentral:rRNA from 1 species